GAUGAAGAACGCAGCGAAAUGCGAUAAGUAAUGUGAAUUGCAGAAUUCAGUGAAUCAUCGAAUCUUUGAACGCACAUUGCGCCCCCUGGUAUUCCGGGGGGCAUGCCUGUCCGAGCGUCAUUACAACCCUCAAGCCCAGCUUGGUGUUGGGCCCCGCCGCCCCGGCGGGCCCUAAAGUCAGUGGCGGUGCCGUCCGGCUCCGAGCGUAGUAAUUCUUCUCGCUCUGGAGGUCCGGUCGUGUGCUCGCCAGCAACCCCCAAUUUUUUUCAGGUUGACCUCGGAUCAGGUAGGGAUACCCGCUGAACUUAAGCAUAUCAAUAAGAGGAGGA
rnacentral:misc_RNA from 1 species